UGAUCUCAUGAAUGGAAUGCUACUACUUAGAUGCGAGAACCAGUGACACCAUAUGCUCAUAUCAAUUUCAAACUUCACAUAUUGAAACGCAUGACACUCAAGAUGAAGUUAAGGGUUGUAACGGGGCUUAGGGUGAUGGCUAACAAAUGAAGGAUAAGGAUAACAAUCGUUCUUAAAGCAAUAACAAGUCAAGUAAUGAAAUUGAAACUUAGAAUUCACUUAGAUUGCAGAAAUCAGCUUUUAGACACGAAGGGAAAAUUCAAGCAAUAUUUAGGGCUGAAUUCUAUGUUUUGGACCUUUCUUCAACAAGCAGCACUUUAAAACUCUUUUUCGCAUAUUUUUCAACUCCUUUUUUUUUUUUUUUCAACUCUUCUUUUCUUUUCAGCAAGCAUAAUAACUCACACUUCCCCCACACUUGUUUUCUGCCAUACAUUAAUCAAAAGAAAUUCAAUUUGAAU
rnacentral:lncRNA from 1 species